UUCUAGAAUGUUAAGUGAUGUCAUAUCAAGAAUUGUCUCAGAUACAAAAAACAACAGAGAAUUGUUCAUUCCCUACAAACCUGCUGAACAGAGUGCAUCAGAACGUAUACACAGAGAGAGAAAGUAUACCAACGAUGGACAAAACAAUGAUUGUAAGCCAGCACCUCCUUGUGGAAACGGAGCUGGCGAAUAGCUUGAGGAAACUGACCCUGGAGGAGAGGAGACUAGAGGUCAGAAAGCAAAUGUUUGUUGAGCUGAGAGAAAUGGAGGUGAACCGUAGACAGAAAGUCGCUCUGGAGACCCUGCAGCAAUGCAAAAGGGACAGAGAGGAGGAAGAACAAGAGGCAGAAAGGGCACUGCAGGAAAGCAUGGAGACGGCGAGGAGGCAGGAGUUUGAGCAGAGCCAACUGAAAGUAGAAAGACUUCAGUGGCAGCAGGUGAUGCUAACAAGCCCCACCUGUAGCUUCAGUUCUCUGAAAAAAGACCAACAGAGUGAACCAAGUUCUGCUGAGCUCUGCCGCCAUAAGAGCGCCAAAGUCCACCCAGUGAACCUGCCCUCUGACACCAAACACAAGACUCUCCACAACAACUGGGUUGGCGAGAAAACUAUCGAAAGUGUUCAAGCCAAAGACAACAGCGCCACCUAUCUGCUCUUUGCUGCUAAGUCAAACCCCAAGUGUGAAGAACAAAAACCCAAAGUCAACAAGUCCCUGCAGUGGAUUCAGGACCGACUGAAGGUCGGACACUGGGUCGACAAGUACCAGCACUACGCGGACAAGGAGAGGGAAAAGCGCACGCGCAAUGCAGAGCAGCAUUAUGAAAGCUGGAUUGCUUUCCACCAAAUCAGCAGCAUGAGCACUUACUUUUACUAAUUCACUUCGUUUUUUUUGUUUUAUUAUUUACUGUGGUACUGUGCUUAUAGUGUCGCCUGCUGGAGAGUCUGCAGUUGCUCAGAUGGGGAUCAGACACUAUACAAGCAUGAUGUCUACCUGUUCCUGUUCUGCUGCAGUAGACUCAGUCCUGGAGGGCUGAUGAGAGAGGCUCACGCACACACCUCCCUGAAAACACCCGAGCUCCUCCCGUCUGUCAUUUUUACCUGGCUCAGGACAGGAGUAUUCCACAACCAACCACUUGUGGAAACUCCUGUGACUGUGGACAGGACUCUUGCCACACUUGUUGGAAGAGUCCAGUCCACUGUAAUUUCACCUGGCUGUGGACACGACUCUUGCCACACUUGUUGGAAGAGUCGUGUACACAACCAGGUAAAAAUGACAGAAGAGGAGGUACGGUUUUUCAGGCCACUCCCGACUCUCCCCAGCAGGAGGCGCCAUGGCCACAGUCCACCGUCACACUGCGUUUUCUUUUUUGGUGUGAUGUAUAAACUAUAAUAAAACUGUGUUGAAGUGAAAACC
rnacentral:lncRNA from 1 species